rnacentral:rRNA from 1 species
AACGAACGCUGGCGGUAUGCUUAACACAUGCAAGUCGAACGAAUUAAUCUAGCUUGCUCAGAUUAGUUAGUGGCAAACGGGUGAGUAACACGUGGGAAUCUACCCAGUAGUACGGGAUAACAGUUGGAAACGACUGCUAAUACCGUAUGGUAUCGAGAGAUUAAAGAUUUAUCGCUACUGGAUGAGCCCGCGUCAGAUUAGGUAGUUGGUAGGGUAAUGGCCUACCAAGCCCGAGAUCUGUAGCUGGUCUGAGAGGAUGACCAGCCACACUGGAACUGAGACACGGUCCAGACUCCUACGGGAGGCAGCAGUGAGGAAUAUUGGACAAUGGGCGAAAGCCUGAUCCAGCAAUACCGCGUGAGUGAAGAAGGCCUUAGGGUUGUAAAGCUC